UUGGAUUCAAAGUUUUAUGACGCUCAAAUGGCCUUGGCGAAUGCAUUUGGGAGUAUAAAACUGACUGAUAGAGCAUUAUCAAUAUACAGCCAAAUGAUGGGCUAUUUCCCGACAAAUGUAGAAAUAUUGGUGAGCAUUGGCUCAAUUUAUAUGGAGAAAGGGUAUGUCUGUGUAGAUAUUCCAGACUGUAUGACAUGGCAGUCGACUGCUACAAAAAGGCUGUCGAUUUGAACCAAUCCAGUGCCGAAUAUCACGGCUAUUUGGGCAAUGCUCUCAAGGAAAAGGGCAAACUUGAUGAAGCGGAAGCUGCCUAUCAACAAUCAUUGCUCAUAAACCCUAAUUAUGUGAUUCUCUCAACAAUCUUGGAAAUAUAAAAAGAGAAAAAGGUCAAAUCGAUUCUGCAGUGGCACUAUACAAACAUGCUUUGAAGAUCAAUCCGUUAAUGGCCAUCGCACAUUCUAAUUUGGGGGGAAUCUACCACCACAUCUGCCGAUAUAACGAAUCACUGGCCCAUUAUAGUGAAGCACUCCG